UAUUUGCGCUGUUGAGAAUCCUCAAGGAUCAACUGCAUAUUAGUGAAUUUAGAAGAAUGAAUAAAGCCUUUCAACGAGCCCAUUCUGUCAGUUAGGUGGUCCAGACAGCAGGAUGGGAUGAAGGCAGGACUAAGCCUGACUGGGCUACAGAAAUGGGCGGAGCCUCCAAACAGUCUCUUGGCAACCGGAUCUGGUCGCCAAACCGCCAAAGCGUGAGCUUCGAGCGCGUUGCCCUCUGGGAAUUGUAGUCUUUGGGCGGGUUCGUAGGAACUUCGAGACUGUAGACUUAGACACUGAGGACUACAGUUUCCGACGUCCACCACGAGGGCCCGAGGGUGGAAAAAGGCCCGAAAUCUCCGGGAUUCCUUGCUCGCCUGUGACAGCAGCUGCAGGAAGCAGGCAGGCGCAUCGUGGGGGCUGAGGCCUCUUAUUCUUGGAGGGGAGGACACUGGACACUUCCCCACGCAACUUCCAUCUGUGGCCCCCGAGUGUGUGCAUGGCGAAGUCCCCGGAGAACUCUACCCUGGAGGAGAUUCUGGGGCAGUAUCAACGUAGUCUCCGGGAACGUGCAAAUAGAAGCAUUCAUCAGUUGAAAUGUGCCCUGAGAGAAGGUGAUGUCACCGUUGGAGAAGAUAUGCUAGAUCCUUCUUUUAACACCAGUGUAGGAAAUGAGGAUGCUGAAAAUGCCUGGCGAGAACUACAACACAGCCACGCCGUUAAUCAACUCAAAGCUUUGUUGCGCCAACAAGCAGCUAAGGAAAGUGAGGCAUCUCUAAGAAGACAAGAAACAUCCCCUUCGAGGUCAUCAGAAUGUGAGGAAACCAGUAUGCCUACUGUGCACAAUCUUGUUCCUAUCAUCAAUGACCAGUCUCAGUACAUUUAUCAUUUAGAGGCAGAAGUCAAGUUCUGCAAGGAGGAACUCUCUGGAAUGAAAAAUAGGGUACAAGUAGUUGUGCUUGAAAAUGAAAGGCUCCAGCAAGAGCUGAAAUCUCGAGGACAAGAAGAAAUGAGGGAACAAACACUUCUGGAUGCAUCUGGAAACCUGCAGAAUUCUUGGAUUACAACAGGUGAAGACUCUAGGGUGGAUGAAGCUGCAAAGAGAUCAUUUUCAUGUGGCAAUGCCGAUACUAUCAAAGUUGCUUCUGCUGGUGAGGCUGAAAAAUGGAAACUAGAACUUGAGAGACUAAAACUUACUUAUGAGGAAAAGAGUGAAAUCCUGGAAUCUCAAUUGACGUUUUUGAGGAAAGACUUAGCUGAAUAUCAGAAAAACUGUGAAGAUCUUAAAGAGCGACUAAAGCAUAAAGAGUCUCUUCUUGCUGCUAAUAUUUCUAACCGUGUUGGUGGUCUUUGUUUGAAAUGUGCUCAGCAUGAAGCUGUUCUUACCCAAACCCAUAAUAACGUUCACAUACAAACCAUUGAAAGACUGACUAAAGAAAGAGAUGACUUAAUGUCUGCGCUAGUUUCCGUGAGGAACAGCUUGACAGAGGUGCAGCAAAGAGAGGCAAGUGCUUAUAAGCAGGUGAAACAAGCUGUGAAAAUGACUGAGGAAGCCAGUUUUGAAAAAACCAAGGCUUUGAUCCAAUGUGAACAGUUGAAGAAUGAGCUGGAGAGGCAGACAGACCGACUUGAGAAAGAACUUGCAUCUCAGCAAGAAAAAAGAGCCUUUGAGAAAGAGAUGUUGAAAAGAGAAAUAACAAAAGAAAGAGAAGACAUGGACUCAAAGAUGUUGACCCUAUCUCAGAAUAUUGCCCAACUGGAGGCUGAGGUGGAAAAGGUUACAAGAGAGAAGAUUUCAGCUGUUCAUCAACUCGAGGAAAUUCAAAACCAGCUUGCUUCCCGGGAAAUGGAUGUCACAAAGGUGUGUGAAGAAAUGCGCUAUCAAUUGAAUAAAACCAAAAUGGAGAAGGAUGAGGCCGAAAAGGAGCACAGAGAGUACAGAACAAAAACUAAAAGGGAUCUUGACAUUAAAGAUCAGGAAAUAGAGAAAUUGAGUUUAGAACUGAGUGAAAGCAAGCAGCGCUUGGAACAGCAGCAGGAGAAGGCAACCCGGGCCAGAGAGGAGUGCCUGAAACUGACAGAACUGCUGGGCGAAUCCGAGCACCAACUGCACCUCACCAGACUGGAAAAAGAUAGCAUUCAGCAGAGCUUUAGCAAUGAAGCAAAGGCCCAAGCCCUUCAGGCCCAGCAAAGAGAGCAGGAGCUGACACAGAAGAUACAGCAAAUGGAAGCCCAGCAUGACAAAACUGAAAAUGAACAGUAUUCAUUGCUGACCUCCCAGAAUUCGUUUUUGACAAAGUUGAAGGAAGAGUGCUGCUUGUUAGCCAAAAAACUGGAACAAAUCUCUCAGAAAAGCAGAUCUGAAAUAGCUCAGCUCAGUCAAGAAAAGAGGUAUACAUAUGACAAACUGGAAAAGUUACAGAGAAGAAAUGAUGAAUUAGAGGAGCAGUGUGUCCAGCAUGGGAGACUACAUGAGAUAAUGAAGCAAAGGCUGAAGCAGCUGGACAAGCACAGCCACGCCACGGCCCAGCAGCUGGUGCAGCUCCUCAACAAGCAGAACCAGCUUCUGCUGGAGAGACAGAGCCUAUCGGAAGAGGUGGGACAUCUGAGAUCCCAGAAGGUCCCGGGAGAAGCACAGGUCGGGCAGAGAUCCUGUGGGGCAGCGGCCAUGGAACGAUGUGCAGUCCUGUCACCCAGCUCCUCCGACGUGCCCAGUGGUGGAUAUGGUUUCAGCCAAGAUAGCUCUGUCCCAACAGACUGCUUGACUCCAUCCUCAGUGUUCAGUCUGGGAGAGAUGUCUUUGUAGUCCCAGUUUAGAAAACAGCAUCUGAAGCUGACUGAUGGGUGAUUAAUCAGUUGGCCCUAUGACUUUUGAGCAUUUUUGGCAGUGAAUUCACUUUCUAAUUUGAUUUAAACUUGUGUAUGGAUCCAGCAGACAUAUGUGAUUAUAUUCAAAAUCACGGACAUUAUCUCGCUACACCAAAGGAUUCAUAAAGAGAGCUGAAAACAAGCACAAGAAACAAAGGCAACAGAUGAUAACAAAGGGAGGAAAGGCCCAUUUGUGACCUGAAGGAAAGGGAGGGGGGAGCCUUCAGAAAUGUGAGCUCCAGGGUGCGCGGCUCAGCUCCCUUGAGUGCCUGCAAACCAAGCUGUAGGGUCACCCAGCAGAGACUUGGAGGUGUCCACAGAGUCUGUGGUGGGCCUUCCUUGAGCCCGGGGGGGCUUCACCCAGUUAAGUCGGCACUUUCAUGACGCUAGCUACCUGCAGGACAGAUGGUGCUUGAUAGAACAGCAAAUACACUGAAUAAAAUAAAUUAAAAAGCCUCCUCCUGAACCAAGAUUUUUUUGGAAAGAAUUCUAAAUAGAUGAAAACAAACAAUUUGAUUUCAACCAAAUUGUUGUUUUUUUGUUUUUAUCCUGAUUUUCACCCGAAUUGUCAGUCUCAAAAAUAAACACUGAUACAUUCCCAGAAAAUAUUUUUCAAAUAAAAACUGACUCUGUUAAAGUUUGCCCUGAUUCUUUCAAAACUGUGUACAAGACACUGUCAACCGAAGUGACUUGCAUAUUUUUUUAAAUAAACUUGAACAUAUGCAGCUAAAAUGUCAUUAACUCCCUGCUGCCUGAGUGUUGUAAAAGAAUGACGUAAGACCCCCUGGUGCCACAUUUCUAACAUAGGGGUCUUGUGACCCUCAGGGAAGCUUCCUCAAGCAACUCAAAUAGCAUAGUUUAACUUUUUCUUUUUUUCAACUGAAGGCCCUGUGUGUAAUUAAUAUUGAAAAGUGCAUACAGCUUUAUUGAAGCCAAACUUGCUCUUCUGCUAACAGUUCACUUUGUCCAAGAGUGAAUAAUUUCAGAAUAAGACUUAUGGAAGAAAAAUACAUUGAAUUUAACAUUGCUUCAGAUACAUUUGCUCCACUUAUUGCUUCCCGAGUCAGACAUUACAUUUUGCAAUAUAAAUUCACAAUCAAGAUUUUAAAGGGAGCUAAAUAUUUUAAUCCAAUUAGACAAGUGAACAAAACACUGAAUAUUACAUGUAGUGUAGAUAAGUGGUUCUUGCCUUUAAAAGACUGUAAUUCCGUCACAUUACAACCCCAAAUGUCAAUGUUGUCUUUAUUUUUAACGCUUUCAAACAUGAGGCAGCCAGAGGCUCCACUCUCUGCUGUUGGUGACACUGUCUGUCCUUUGGGAAAUUCUUAAAAAUCUAUUUACCAUGGAAACACGGUUCGUACAAAACACAGACCCCUGCCCAUGUGCAGGGGAAGUUUCUCGUGACUCAUGGGAUUCAAGAAAGCUGGAAGAUGACAAAGUCGGGAUCCCGCGGACGGUGGCAGGAUCCGUCGCAUGUGUUGGAGUGUGCUCUGGGGAAGAAAUGGCGAGCAGAUGCCAGCCACUGGCUAGUGGGUCCUCCCACCUGACCACUCCUGUCUGUGCAUGGGGUCCCCUGCCUUCCCCCCAUGUCUCAAGUCCCAAGUCCACAUCGAGGUGCUGUUUUCCAGGAAGCUAAGGAAUCACUGUCUUCACCUUCUUUCUGCAAGAAAGUCUGUCCUGCCUCUACCGGUGCCAUCUUCUGGCUUCUCUAGUUCUUUUCCUAUGUUGGAGCCCAGAGGCAGCAAACCCAGGCCCCAGAGUUCAGGGAAAAUGGAGCUUGAACUCUGACUGCCACAGAGCUUUCAUUGUCUGGGGCCCAGCCGGGCAGCCAUGGGGGAAGAAUAAAAUGAGGGUCUGCGGCGACCUUGCUGUGAACUCCUGCCCAUUUGGCAGCUGCGCCAGCCGGAGGGGAAGGCGGUUCAGCCAGAGCUUCGGUGACUUGUGCAGGGCAGAGGCAGGCCCCUCUUGACCUGGAGUCUGCAACCGUGAGCCCUGUGUUGGCGGAGAACUGCCUUCUAACAGUUACCCAGCAUGCCACAAUCUGAUUGCUGACCUGGAUGAAACAGAGUGAAAUAAAUGAUAUACAAAGAGAUAUUUACAUUCAUCUGAUUUGUACGUAAUAUGCCACAAUGCACCGCGACCUUCCCAGUGGACCCCACCUCAGACUGCGGUGGGCUGCAUCGUCAUCGCCACAUUCGUUGCCAAGCGGUCCCUGCAGGAUGGACGGGCUGGAGCUGAAGUCUGACACUAGAUGAGGAGACCUCCUGGUGUAUGUUUUCAGAAAAGGCUUGAAGUUAUUAUGUUUUUAGAUCUGCUCAUUUGUAUGCCCUGUUACACAUACGAAUUUCAAUAAAUGAAUUUUUUGAAGACUCGAA